rnacentral:lncRNA from 1 species
UGUAGUCAUCCAGGCUCCACUAAGCUCGGGUUCGCAAUUCUACAAGGAUACAUAUUCAGUUGUACUCUUGGCUGUUGUAGAUGCCAUCUACUGUUUCCAUGUAAUCGAUGUUGGUGCUUAAGGGAAGUGAUGGUGGGACCCUCCUGGACUCUGCCUUCGGCCAGGCACUUCAGGAUGGCACCCUGGAGAUUCCACCACCUGCAUCACUCCCUGGGGCUGAAGACCUGGGACCCGUUCCCCAUGGCUUCGUCGGUGACGAGGCCUUCCCUUGAGACCUAGCCUCAUGAGGCCCUACGCUGGACGCCAGCUGCCAUUGCCAUAGUCUGUAAGGAUCUUUAACAAACGACUAUCCAGGUAAAGGUUAGUUGUUGAAUGCGCCUUUGGGAUUCUGGCAGCCUGGCGGAGAAUUUAUUGGAGAGUGCUUGGUCUCAGCCCCUCAAAUGUUGAUGCCUGCGUGAAGGCCACGUGUUCUCCACAACGACCUGCGGAGGUCAUUCCAGGAGCCGGUACGGGUGGAGACGGGCUCGCUAAAUAGUCACCUACCUGAUGUCACCAGGGCACGUGCCAACAACGCCCCCAGACAGGCACUCCAGGUGAGGGAGAAGCUGACCACCUACUUCUCAUCACCAGCAGGUGAAGUCCCAUAACACCAAGGUUAUUUUAAGAACCAUCCACCGUUGUCUUGCAUGGUACAUCAGAUCAGCAGGACCUCUAAGGUUAUACGACAUACAGUUAGUAUGAUAAUGGGAAAAGUUAACCGAGGGUCCAUACAAAUGGUACAGUUUACCACCAUCUUCACUGCUCUGACAAAAUGCAGGUGGACAAAAACAAAUUAGGAAGAGAAUGUGUUUUUACUUUCAUCUCGUCUUAGAUCUGCAAAGGUGCAGGGAAGAAAUAAGAAGAUUAAGUCUAAAUGAGAUAUUAAUAAACAAAUGAAACACCUGACUAUGAAAACAGAAUUUAAUAAGUAUUCAAGUACAGGAAAGAACAUGACAGGUAUGUGUUAAAAUGUUAUAAAAACUAUUGAAAGAGGUGUGUGCAUGUAAAAAUACAACAAUUAAUGUGUAGCCUGUAAUCUGUAAGAGAACAAAGAGAGGAUGUAUUUUUCGCACAACUGCAGACAGAUACAGGGACUACUCAUAAAGCCUAGAGGUAGUAGGGGAACUUCAGACAUGGCCAAAAAGAGAGAAAGGGCAGGGCACUGGAGAUCUGAGGGACAGAAAAGAGGGGAGGAGAGGUGUGUGUCUGAAAAAACUAAAAGUGAAUGUGUAGCCACAAUACAGGUAAACACACAUUUCACCUUAAGUCUUGUAAAAGAACAAGAGAAUCGAAAUUCUCCGGUGUGUCAGUUUUCAUGCAAUCUAUGUACAACUAAUAAUGAACGCUAUCCUAAGUAUUGAGAAACGAUUUACUUUAUGAAUUCCAUGAAUUUUAUUCUAAAAAAGCCUACUAACAAGGAGAUAGUAAGCGGAAUAAGGACAGUUGGAAAAUCUCAAUUGAGGACAGUUGGAGUAUCUCAGUUGCAUUUCCUUGAUUCCUCGUGUCCUCUCUCCUCACCUCCCGCUCAAAACCCAUUGGAGGAGGUGGUCAAAACAACAACCAGACAAGUCUCCUCUUCCUGUCCUUCCUGUGAGCUGGUCGGCUAAAUUGACUAUCUCUGGAAGGGAAGAGAAAAACCACACAUACAAGCAUUACAUAAUAACACCAUAAAAUGUGAGAUUUAUGAUAACUAAAUACUACUUGUGUAGUUAGUGGCAUAAAUAUUGGCACAGUGUGGUAAAGUUGGUAAUUCUUGCUGUUUACUCAUGGAAUUUGUAUUUUAGAUCAAAAGAUGAAUAUGACAGGCAAAUAUUUAGACAGCAAACUGUUUUAGGAUAUUUUCUAAAACAGAAACAGCUAUACAUUUGCCUCAAGUUAAUCGACAUGGCAGCCACAGGACACCACGGCAAACAGCUGUAAGGUCUAUGUGUCCACUGACAUCAACCAUGGGCCCACCUCAAAAGUGUGUAUCAUCAGAAAGAUGCUGGAGCACAAGGGCCAUGAGAAUUCCCACUCUGAGAAUGUGACAAACUGCAUCCACCCAGACUUAGUCACAUAUAUUGAGAUCUUGUCUCUUCAAUGCAAGGCAUGCCACAAAAUUGCCAACAGCACCAUGAACUGGGCGAAGAGCAGGGGGUACACUGACAUGGGGGACAGGAGAUUCUUCCCAUCUCUCGGGGAAAUUCUGUACCUAAAGAAUCGAAUGAAGCCCCUGGACAGGCAUCAUGAAAACGACUCCUGGAGUGUUGACUCGCUUGUGAAACCAGACCUUCAAAAGGCAGAAAAUAUUGCAGUGUGGCAAGAAUCUACUUUUUAUGAACGCUUCAUAUUCUGUACAUUUAGGGCCUUCAUGAUUUACAAAGAUAUGGAGGAGGUGGGGGCCAUAAAGGAAGUCUUUCCAAAUGCUCAUGUUCUUCUGUGCUGGUUCCACAUCCUGCAGGUAAAAUAUGAUUGAAAUUAUGUUUGACCUAAUAGAUGUGUAUAACAUUUAUGAAGUUUUUCUGGUAAUAAGAUAGACAUUUCUUCAGAGGACUAUAUAUUUUGAAGGCUGUAAACGGUUGGAUUACCUCCAAAGACUCAGGAAUAACAGGACAGGUUAACAUCAAAGACAGGAGAAAAGUGAUUGACUUCAUGAUCCAAGUGAAAAACCCACAAUCAGUGAGUUGAUGAGUGUUUAUAAAAAAACACAUGAAGGUAUUUCGGGCUUCAUUUAGUCAGAUUAGGCAAUUUGAUAAAUGACAUUAAAGGCAAAAUAAUGUUAUCACAGGAGAUUAUUACCUCAUAAAAGUAGAUUUGUGUAGCAACGAAACAGAACACACUACAUACAACCCUCAUGGGGGUAAAGCUCUCUCCUGAAAAGGAGAGCAUAUUCCAAACAUGGAAUGCUAUGCAAUGUCCUUUACAGGAAAAUAAUUAUGAAAAUAAAAACUGAAACAUAAGGAGGAUUUUAAAAAAACUAAACGACUAAAAAGCUUAAAAAGUUUGAAACUCUUUUAUUUUUAUUUUUAUUUUUUUUUAAAUAUGUCCAGUUUCGGCCCCCUUCAGGUUCUCUGCCAGGCUAUUCCAGAGGCCGGGGGCAUAGUAACUAAAGUGCAAGAGGACCAGAGGGAUCUACUGGGUACAUAACUUAAAAGCAUGUCUGACAUGUACUGGGGUGAACAAUCGUGGAUUGACUUAAAAACCAAUAGAAUAAUCUUAAAAUGAAUUCUAAAACUCAGACCUUAAAACCAAUGUAAUGUGUGCUCUUCGUCUGGUCUUUAUUAGUACCCAUGCUGCAGCAUUCUGUAAGUUUUGCAGUUGACCAAUGGCUUUCUUGGGUAGACCAGAGAGGAUAGCAUUACAGUAGUCAAGCCUGCUAGUAAUAAAAGCAUGGAUGAGUCUUUCUGUAUCAGCUGGAGAAAGAAACAGACGCACCUUGGCAAUGCUCCUCAGGUGGUAAAACGCCAUUUGAUCACAUUCCUAAUGUGUGUUUUGAAAUUCAGUUCAGAAUCUAAAAUAACACCAAGGUUUUUUGCCUGGUGUUUUAUCUUUAUUGCCCGUAAAUUAAAAUGUGCGGACAGAUUCUCUCUCUGUGCUUAAGCUCCAACAAUAAGUACCUGAUCUUGUCUUGCUUUAGCUGGAGGAAGUUGUGAGCCAUCCAAGUAUUUAAAUCACUAAUAUAGUCUAAUAGUUUAUCCGUGGAGCUAAAAUCCUCUAGUGACACAGAAAAUGUCAACUUGUAUCGUCUGCGUAGCAGUGAAAAUUAAUGCUGUGCUUUAUUAUAAAGAGGUCAAGAGGUAACAUAUAUAAACUGGGGUGCCGUUCCCUGUCACAGUUACAUGGCAAUGCCUUGCCUGUCCUUUGUUUGGUUUUUACAUUCCAAUUGAUGUGCUAAUCUGAUGCUUAUCUGAAAAAGAGAUGGUUAAAGGGACAGGGCAGUAAAAAAAAAAAUGUUUUGUGUUUUUCUGUGUUUCAUAUACACCUAGUGUACAAAACAUUAGGAACACCUGCUCUUUCUAUGACAGACUGACCAGGUGAAUGCUAUGAUCCCUUAUUGAUGUAACCUGUUAAAUCCACUUCAAUCAGUGCAGAAGAAGGGGAGGAGACAGGUUAAAGAAGGAUUUUUAAGCCUUCAGAGAUGGAUUGUGUAUGUGUACUAGAGGUCGACCGAUUAUGCUUUUUCAACACCGAUACCGAUUAUUGGAAGACCAAAAAUGCUGGUACCGAUUAAUCGGACGAUUAUUAUUAUGAUUUUUAUAUAUAUAUACACAGCUCUGAAGUGACAACGAUACUGAAGAGUCUGCUUAGGAGACAAAUACUCUCAACUGUUUGAAUAAUAAAAAUAGAGUUUAAGU